rnacentral:tRNA from 1 species
GCAUGAAUAGCUCAGUUGGUUAGAACGUGGUGCUGAUAGCACCAAGGUUGCAGGUUUGAUCCCUGUAUGGGACAGCUGCA